rnacentral:tRNA from 1 species
GGGGACGUAGCUCAGACUGGGACGGCAGAAGAAAUCUAUUUUAGGAUUCUUAAGCUGCAGGAAAGAGCACUAGACUGAAGAUCUAGUUGUCCCGGGUUCAAAUCCCGGCGUCCCCA